GACGAACGCUGGCGGCGUGCUUAACACAUGCAAGUCGAACGAAGUGGCGAACGGGUGAGUAACGCGUAAUCAACCUGCCCUUCAGAGGGGGACAACAGUUGGAAACGACUGCUAAUACCGCAUACUGAAGGAGGGGAUUGCGUCUGAUUAGCUAGUUGGAGGGGUAACGGCCCACCAAGGGGAUGAUCAGUAGCCGGUUCUGUAGGAGGAACAGCCACAUUGGGACUGAGACCAGGCCCAGACCCCGACGGGAGGCAGCAGUGGGGGAUCUUCCGCAAUGGACGAAAGUCUGACGGAGGAACUCCGCGGGAGUGAUGACGGCCUUCGGGUUGGAAAGCUCUGUUAAUCGGGACGCGGUACCGGAAUAGAAAGCCACGGCUAACUACGUGCCAGCAGCCGCGGUAAUUC
rnacentral:rRNA from 1 species